GCCUGGGUGGCGGAAUCGGUAUACGCGCGACACUCAAAAUGUCGUGGGAGCAAUCCCGUGAGGGUUCGAGUCCCUCCCCAGGCACCA
rnacentral:tRNA from 1 species